GUGAAAUGUUGGGUUAAGUCCCGCAACGAGCGCAACCCUUAUCCUUUGUUGCCAGCGGUCCGGCCGGGAACUCAAAGGAGACUGCCAGUGAUAAACUGGAGGAAGGUGGGGAUGACGUCAAGUCAUCAUGGCCCUUACGACCAGGGCUACACACGUGCUACAAUGGCGCAUACAAAGAGAAGCGACCUCGCGAGAGCAAGCGGACCUCAUAAAGUGCGUCGUAGUCCGGAUUGGAGUCUGCAACUCGACUCCAUGAAGUCGGAAUCGCUAGUAAUCGUGGAUCAGAAUGCCACGGUGAAUACGUUCCCGGGUCUUGUACACACCGA
rnacentral:rRNA from 1 species